AUUGAACGCUGGCGGCAUGCCUAACACAUGCAAGUCGAGCGGAGCGGCGGACGGGUGAGUAAUGCCUAGGAAUAUGCCUGGUAGUGGGGGAUAACGUCCGGAAACGGGCGCUAAUACCGCAUACUAUCAGAUGAGCCUAGGUCGGUUUAGCUAGUUGGUGGGGUAAAGGCCUACAAGGGGAACGAUCCGUAACUGGUCGGAGAGGAUGAUCAGCCACACUGGAACGUAGACACGGUCCAUACUCCUACGGGAGGCAGCAGUGGGGAAUAUUGGCCAAUGGGCGAAGGCCUGAGUCAGACAGGCCGCGUGUGGGAAGAAGGUCUCCGGAUGGUAAAGCACUUUAAUUUGGGAGGCGUUACCAACAGAAUAAGCAACGGCUAACUUCGUGCCAGCAGCCGCGGUAAUAC
rnacentral:rRNA from 1 species